GCCUUUGUGGCGUAGUGGUAGCGCGUCGCACUUGUAUACCGAGUGGGUGUUCAUGCGAAGGUCACUCGUUCAAUCCGGGUCGGAGGCA